rnacentral:rRNA from 1 species
AUCUUCGGCAAUGGACGGAAGUCUGACCGAGCGACGCCGCGUGUAUGAUGAAGGUCUUCGGAUUGUAAAAUACUGUCGAUAGGGCGGAAAUUUAGGAGGGCAAUCCCUUCUAUUUGACCUAUCUUUUGAGGAAGGACGGGCUAAGUUCGUGCCAGCAGCCGCGGUAAGACGAACUGUUCUAACGUUAUUCGGAAUCACUGGGCUUAAAGGGCGCGUAGGCUGUUUGUUAAGCGGGGUCUGAAAUCCCUCGGCUCAACCGAGGAACUGGGCUUCGAACUGGCAGACUAGAGUGAAGUAGGGGUAAGCGGAACUUGCGGUGGAGCGGUGAAAUGCUUUGAUAUCGCAAGGAACACCGGCGGCGAAGGCGGCUUACUGGGCUUCAACUGACGCUUAAGCGCGAAAGCUAGGGUAGCGAACGGGAUUAGAUACCCCGGUAGUCCUAGCCGUAAACUCUGAGCGCUUGUUCGAGGGAGUUUUUCUUUCUCGAGCGUAGCGAAAGUUUUAAGCGCUCCGCCUGGGGAGUAUGGUCGCAAGGCUGAAACUCAAAGGAAUUGACGGGGGCUCACACAAGCGGUGGAGGAUGUGGCUUAAUUCGAGGCUACGCGAAGAACCUUAUCCUAGGCUUGACAUGCAUGGAUACCCUCCCUGAAAGGGGAGUAAGUUGCUAGCAAUAGUGAAACUUGCACAGGUGCUGCAUGGCUGUCGUCAGCUCGUGUCGUGAGACGUCGGGUUAAGUCCCUUAACGAGCGAAACCCCUAUCGUUAGUUGCCAUCAUUUAGUUGGGCACUUUAGCGAGACUGCCUAAGUUAAUGCGGAGGAAGGCGGGGACGACGUCAAGUCCUCAUGGCCCUUAUGCCUAGGGCUGCACACGUCCUACAAUGGAUUCCACAAAGGGAAGCGACACUGUGAAGUCGAGCAAAUCCCCAAAAAGGGUCCUCAGUUCGGAUUGUAGUCUGCAACUCGACUACAUGAAGCCGGAAUCGCUAGUAAUCGCGGGUCAGCAUACCGCGGUGAAUAAGGUCCUGAGCCUUGUACACACCGCCCGUCAAG